rnacentral:rRNA from 1 species
UCGAGCGAGUGAAAUUAACUGAUCCCUUCGGGGUGACGUUAAUGGAUCUAGCGGCGGACGGGUGAGUAACACGUGGGCAACCUGCCUGUAAGACUGGGAUAACUCGCGGAAACGUGAGCUAAUACCGGAUAACACUUCGAACCACAUGGUUUGAAGAUGAAAGGCGGCGCAAGCUGUCACUUACAGAUGGGCCCGCGGCGCAUUAGCUAGUUGGUGAGGUAACGGCUCACCAAGGCGACGAUGCGUAGCCGACCUGAGAGGGUGAUCGGCCACACUGGGACUGAGACACGGCCCAGACUCCUACGGGAGGCAGCAGUAGGGAAUCUUCCGCAAUGGACGAAAGUCUGACGGAGCAACGCCGCGUGAGUGAUGAAGGUUUUCGGAUUGUAAAACUCUGUUGUUAGGGAAGAACAAGUACAAUAGUAACUGAUUGUACCUUGACGGUACCUAACCAGAAAGCCCCGGCUAACUACGUGCCAGCAG